GCCCUCGUGGUGCAAUGGUAGCAUAUCAGACUUCUAAUCUGAGGGUUGCGGGUUCGAGCCCCGCCGGGGGUU